UACGUAGGGUGCAAGCGUUGUCCGGAAUUAUUGGGCGUAAAGAGCUCGUAGGCGGUCUGUUGCGUCGGCUGUGAAAACCCGGGGCUCAACUCCGGGCCUGCAGCCGAUACGGGCAGACUAGAGUUCGGUAGGGGAGACUGGAAUUCCUGGUGUAGCGGUGAAAUGCGCAGAUAUCAGGAAGAACACCCGUGGCUAAGGCGGUUCUCUAGUACGGUACUGACGCUGAGACGCGAAAGCGUGGGGAGCGAACAGG
rnacentral:rRNA from 1 species